UACAGAGGGGGCAAGCGUUAUUCGGAAUUAUUGGGCGUAAAGGGCGCGUAGGCGGCCAUUCAAGUGACGGGUGAAAGCCCUCGGCUUAACCGAGGAGCUGCCUGUCAGACUGGAUGGCUUGAGACCGGGAGAGGUGAGUGGAAUUCCCAGUGUAGCGGUGAAAUGCGUAGAUAUUCGGAAGAACACCAGUGGCGAAGGCGACUUACUGGACACAUAUUGACGCUGAGGUGCGAAAGCCAGGGGAGCAAACGGG
rnacentral:rRNA from 1 species